CGAAGAAGACGACAUGGCAUGGUAUUGUUUCGGCUCAUGUCCUUCUCGAGCUGAUGGUCGGAUGAGAUGUGAGCCGAACCAAUAUCACCCAUGUAUUCUUCCUU
rfam:Brachypodium distachyon strain Bd21 chromosome 5, whole genome shotgun sequence.